rnacentral:rRNA from 1 species
CAAUAAGCGGAGGAAAAGAUACUAACAGUAUUCCCGUAGUAGCGGCGAGCGAAUGGGGACUUGCAAGUUCAAUGCUAAAUCUGAGGGUCUUUGUACCGUACGAGCUGUAGCGUUGAUGAGACUCCGCCAAAGGUCUGUGUUAUAGAGCUUACUAAAGUAUUUCAUGAACGGGUCACAUAUCCAUAGAGGGUGACAGACCCGUAGAGUAGGUUCGCAAACACAUUGACUUGGAGCAUCUCAGACGAGUCGAGUUGCUUGAGAGUGCAACUCAAAUUGGGUGGUAAACUUCACCUAAGACUAAAAAUGACCACGAGACCGAUAGAGAACAAGUACCGUGAGGGAAAGUUGAAAAGAACUCUGAAGAGAGAGUUCAAGAGUACGUGAAACCGUUUAGAGGUAAGCCUAAGGGACUGAACGCUAUCACUAUGUAGAUUCAAACGUGUGCUAGUUCCCGAACAUGAUCGUCACUUGUCGCCUCGGCUUCGGCUGUGUUUGCGAGGUGUCGUGUCUGUUCGACAGUGUUCUGCACACGGCUGCAACUCUAUAAGUGCGAUGGUAUCGUAGUACGUUGACGACCUAACAUGGCCAGGCGCCAAGUCCUUACACUGCUCAUAUGUUUACAUGUGAGUUUUUGUGUGUGGAUGCUUGUGCUGUACGUUAGUGUGUAUCGACGGUAAAUGAGAUAGAGUAUACGAACUAUGGCUCGUCCAUGCCUACAUUGUUAGGCGUUCUAUACGCGCAAUAAUAUCGAUACUAGUUUAAGUACCCUAAGGACCCGUCUUGAAACACGGACCAAGGAGUCCAGCACUACAGCGAGUCAUUGGGACCUACAAAGCCUAUUGACGCAAUGAAAUUAACUUUAUACACUGAAUUAGUUGUGUGCCCAUGUGGCAUGCUACGCAGUAAAGAGGUGUCUCAAGCUCAUUGCGAGCUGGGAUGCACUUAGAGUUGUAGUGCUGGCACCCGAAAGAUGGUGAACUAUGCCUGAUGAGAACGAAGUCAGGAGAAAUUCUGAUGGAAGUUCGCAGCAGUUCUGACGUGCAAAUCGAUUGUCAGACUUGGGUAUAGGGACGAAAGGCCAAUCGAACCGUCUAGUAGCUGGUUCCUUUCGAAGUUUCCCUUAGGAUAGCUGGCACUAGCCGAGAUUAGUUUUAUCUGGUAAAGCGAAUGAUUAGAGGCAUUGGGACCGAAACGGUCUCAACCCAUUCUCAAACUUUAAAUGGGUAAGAACUAUAGCUUAUUUGAUACAUAAAGCUAUAGAUCAAUUAGAAUGAUAGUGCCUAGUGGGCCACUUUUGGUAAGCAGAACUGGCGCUGUGGGAUGAACCAAACGUAAAGUUAAAGCGCCUAAACAACGCCUAUGAGAUACCAUGAAAGGUGUUGGUAACUAUAGACAGCAGGAGGGUGGCCAUGGAAGUUGGAACCCGCUAAGGAGUGUGUAACAACUCACCUGCCAAAGUUACUAGCCCUGAAAAUGGAUGGCGCUCAAGCGUUGUGCUUAUACUUUACCGUUAACGAGUGUAGUAUCCCAAUCAUACACAGAAUCGUUAACGAGUAGAAAGGUGUGGUAGAAGGCGUUGAAGGGUCUGCGUAAGCUGGCCUGGAGCUUCUAGUAGUACAGAUCUUGGUGGUAGUAGCAAGUACUUCAGCGAGAUUCUGGAGGACUGUGCUGGAGAAGGGUUUCGUGUGAACAGAAGUUGGACACGAGUUAGUCGGUCCUAAGCUAAAAGCAAACGCUUAAUAAUAGUAUUCUAUGUAUAUAACAUUACUUAAAAUACUUAAGGCAAAAGGGAAUAUGGUUAAUAUUCCAUAACCAGUGCACGUAACCGUACGCAAGCUAUUAUAUCUUGUUCGGGGUAACCUAACAUACCUUGGAGACGUCGUCAAGAGAUCUGGGAAGAGUUUGCUUUUCUCUGUAAGCGCCCGGGGACCAUGGAAUCUUUUAAAAAGGAGAUAUGGUUUGGGGCUGCGAAGAGCAUCGCAGUUGCUGCGGUGUCCAGAUCCUCUUUUCGACAAGUAAAAAUCCAAGCGCAGGCUACGUCGGAAUCGUGCUAGUCCGUACCAAUAUCCGCAUCAGGUCUCCUAGGUUUACAACCUAUAGUUAGUAGAAUA